CUUUCCUUAAUUUUCCUUAAUCUUCCGUUUUUUUUUUUUUAUUUACACCAAUACAAGAGAGAAGAAGUAAGAUCCUUCACUUAAGGAUCUGCAAUUUCCCUAUUUCCCCGACCUAAUUCUUCGCUUUUCCUUCCCCACGAUGUUACGAAUCUUCCACCUAUCUUCCUCCCCAGAUUCCUCCCAUCAUUCAUCUGCUCCUUCAUGUGAGGAUUUACACGCUCAACAGCUGGAAGAAGAGUUGCAAUCAAUAGCAUUCAAUGAAUAUGAAUAUGACUUGCGCUCAAUAUUUAAGCCAAGGGGUAUUUUGCUAUUUAAGCACUACCGUAGAGGCAGACACUGACCACAGAAUAAAUGUCUCUUCAAGUCCACCUACAGCAAUGGAAUCUCGCAUUUUAAUCCCCCAAAUCACAACUGAGAAAAAACAAUGGAGUUGUAAAGUUUGUGUUAUUGAAAAGUUGAAUACAAGAGAGUCAAAGAGCAAACCUGGAACCUUGUACAAGCCUAUAACAUUACAAGAUGAAGCGGUUACUCAUUUUUAUUAUUUCUGAACUUCAAAAUUAAUUCUAUGUUGUUAAAAUGAUUGAUUAUAUUUUCAAAUAGUUUUGACAUUUUCUUUAAAAUAAUUAUAGGGCAACAAAGUUCAAGGAAUGACUUAUCAAAAUGAUAUUGAACUACUUGAUGAAAGGCUAAAGUUAUACUCCACAUAUAUUGUCUCUAAUGCAUUACUCUCUCAUGCUAAUCAAUUUUUCAAUGUCCCAGAUGAGAGGUAUAGAUUUUUUUGGUCAAUUAAUAGGAAAACUCUAAUACAAGCAGUCGACAAUGACGUCCAAUUGGAUUUACAACCUUCUUCUGACAUGGAUACAAAACCCUUUGGACAAUUAUAUGAUUACAAAUCUAAAAGACAAGCAAUAAAUAUCAUUGGAGUCGUGAUUUCUAAACUACCAAGAGAAUUUAUUGUGACCAACAGGACAGGACAACAAAAGCCAACGACUUUGUGAUCGUUGAUGAAGAGCUUAAACCUAUCAUUUUCACAAUGUGGGGCAAUUUUACGGUUUGCCAAGGAGUUGAAAUUGACAAAGAGCUCCAAUCAGGAGAUUAUCCCGUUGUUCUUGGAAGAAGGAUUACUGUCACCCCAUAUCAAGGAAUUUCCUUAUCUACAAGAACGGACUCUGGUGUAGAAGUGAAUCCGUUUGGUAAACGUGCUGAUGCUCUUAAAGAAUGGUAAUCUAAAUUCAUUCUUUAUCAUUUAAAUGUUCUAUUUGUUACACUUGAUAAAUGAUUAUAUGUUGUUGACAAGGCGAAGACUAAUUCUUUAGUUAUUGAAAGAUUGAUUGUUGAAAAAGCACAUAACAAUGCUGUAAGUGAAAUGGCAAGCCCUCUUGAUCAACAAAUAUCACCAAUUUCAGAUUUAAAGAAGUCAUUUGAUCAGUCAAAAGGAGUCUGGGUUAAAUCAAAGAUCACACUCAAUAACGAAAAUCCUACCUACUACAUUGGUUGCAACAAUUGUGAUAAGAAAAUUAAUUGUAAUGAUGAAGGUAUUAAAUUCCAAUGUAUGUUUUGUGGUCAUGCAAAUGCGGUUUCUAUCAAGAGAUAUAGACUAAUUGUUGAGCUGUUUGAUGGGACAGAUAGAAUUCAAGCUACUCUGUUUAAUCGUCUUGUGGAUAAGUUGUUUUCCUUGAUAGAAACAGAGAAUGAAAAAGAUGGCUUUGAUUUUCAAAAGCUACAAAAAAAACUUGAUACACCGACUUUUGCUGUGGAACUUAGGUGUCAAACCCAAGAUCGGGGAGGAAUGACAGUGGUCUACACAGUUGCAUCUAUUUGUGAAGAUAUAUCAACUUCAUCAAUUACCGGUACUAAAAAGAAACUUGCCUUUGGAGAAUCUAGCAAUCCGGUAGAAGAUUCAACAAAUUUACCUCCAUCAAAUGUUGACAAUAACUAUCUAGAGAAAAACGUCCAAGAAUUGAGUGAAGUUGUGAUUUGUACUUAAGUGUUUAUGUUAUUAUUUCUUUUCCUGUUACAAUAAUCAAUGAUUCAAGUGUCUUUAAAGACAAAAAUAAAAAUUAUUGACUUUGAGUAAUUUUUA